CGCACGGGUGAGUAACACGUAUCCAACCUGCCUGACACAGGGGGAUAAUCCGAAGAAAUUUGGUCUAAUACCCCAUAAUACCGAUAUAGGCAUCUAUGUUGGUUGAAAGCUUUGGUGGUGUCAGAUGGGCAUGCGUUGUAUUAGCUAGUUGGUGAGGUAACGGCUCACCAAGGCGACGAUACAUAGGGGGACUGAGAGGUUAACCCCCCACACUGGUACUGAGACACGGACCAGACUCCUACGGGAGGCAGCAUG
rnacentral:rRNA from 1 species